UACGUAGGGAGCAAGCGUUGUCCGGAAUCAUUGGGCGUAAAGCGCGCGUAGGCGGCCCUGUAAGUCCGUUGUGAAAGUCAAAGGCUCAACCUUUGAAAGCCGAUGGAUACUGUAGGGCUAGAGUCCGGAAGAGGCGAGUGGAAUUCCUGGUGUAGCGGUGGAAUGCGCAGAUAUCAGGAGGAACACCAAUAGCGAAGGCAGCUUGCUGGGACGGUACUGACGCUGAGACGCGAAAGCGUGGGGAGCGAACAGG
rnacentral:rRNA from 1 species